ACACGACUACAUUAGAUACCCCUGUAGUCCCAGCCCUAAACGAUGCGCGUUAGGUGUAUCGGUGACCACGAGUCACCGAGGUGCCGAAGGGAAACCGUGAAACGUGCCGCCUGGGAAGUACGGUCGCAAGGCUGAAACUUAAGGAAUUGGCGGGGGAGCACCACAACGGGUGGAGCCUGCGGUUUAAUUGGACUCAACGCCGGGAAGCUCACCGGAUAAGACAGCGGAAUGAUUGCCGGGCUGAAGACCCUGCAUGACCAGCUG
rnacentral:rRNA from 1 species